rnacentral:rRNA from 1 species
UACGAAGGGGGCUAGCGUUGUUCGGAAUUACUGGGCGUAAAGGGCGCGCAGGCGGUCCUUCAAGUCAGGCGUGAAAGCCCCGGGCUCAACCUGGGAAUAGCGCUUGAGACUGAGGGACUUGAGUUCGGGAGAGGAGAGCGGAAUUCCCAGUGUAGAGGUGAAAUUCGUAGAUAUUGGGAAGAACACCGGUGGCGAAGGCGGUUCUCUGGGCCUUACCUGGACGCUGAGGAGCGAAAGCGUGGGGAGCGAACAGG